rnacentral:rRNA from 1 species
AAAGACUCAGUCCUAACCUUACCGUUAAUUCUUGCUAAACAUAUACAUGCAAGUAUCCGCGCACCAGUGCAAAUGCCCCAAACCUCUGCCGGAGCCAAAGGAGCCGGCAUCAGGCACGCCCAUCCAGCCGCAGCCCAAGACGCCUUGCUCAGCCACACCCCCACGGGUAUUCAGCAGUAAUUAACAUUAAGCAAUAAGUGUAAACUUGACUUAGUUAUAGCAACACAUAGGGUUGGUAAAUCUUGUGCCAGCCACCGCGGUCACACAAGAAACCCAAAUUAACUACCACACGGCGUAAAGAGUGGUACUAUGCUAUCUAGACAACUAAGAUCAAAGUGCAACCAAGCUGUCACAAGCCAAAGAUGCACCUAAACCCACCCCUCAAGACGAUCUUAGCCCACAUGACCAAUUUAACCCCACGAAAGCCAAGACACAAACUGGGAUUAGAUACCCCACUAUGCUUAGCCCUAAAUCUUGAUACUUAACCCACCAAAGUAUCCGCCCGAGAACUACGAGCACAAACGCUUAAAACUCUAAGGACUUGGCGGUGCCCCAAACCCACCUAGAGGAGCCUGUUCUAUAAUCGAUAACCCACGAUACACCCAACCACCUCUUGCCAAAACAGCCUACAUACCGCCGUCGCCAGCUCACCUUCACUGAAAGAAAAGCAGUGAGCAUAAUAGCUACAACCCGCUAACAAGACAGGUCAAGGUAUAGCCCAUGAGAUGGCAGAAAUGGGCUACAUUUUCUAAGAUAGAAAACCCUACGGAAGGAGGCGUGAAACCGCCCCCAGAAGGCGGAUUUAGCAGUAAAGCAGGACAAUAAAGCCUCCUUUAAACCGGCUCCGGGGCACGUACAUACCGCCCGUCACCCUCCUCAUAAGCUACAAACGCCCAUAACUAAUACGCCAACCAGCUAAAGAUGAGGUAAGUCGUAACAAGGUAAGUGUACCGGAAGGUGCACUUAGCACA